CCAAAUUUUCUGCUCCAAAAAGUAGAAAAUUGGCGAUAACUCGUUUAAUUUGAUAGAUACAUCAAUUGGGCUCCAGAUUCGGAUUCCUGAGAUCAAAAUACAUCAAAUUAGCAUAUGAAAUGGAAUAUUCCCUGGUCAGAAAAGACAUCGUUUGACGAACGUUAAGAAUUAUAGGAUACUAACUACUAAUAAUAAGACAGUGUUUUACCAUAAUGAGGUUUAAUCGUUGGAUUAAUUACACAAGAUAAAGUAAUAAAACCGGCUCAACACCCAUGUGAUCCUGCACAGAGCAGACUACCAUGGGAUACUUUGUGUUACGAAAACCGAGAAUUGGGUCGUUCUGUGAAAUUUCACAAAACAUUAAACCAUAUUAUAAAACUCAUCGAUACACAUGAGUACAAAUGGUUGAAUGAAUAAAUGAAACGAACUGAAGACAGAGAUUCGUUUCAUCUUUCCGAGAAAUCACCCCUGUCAAAAUUUCAAGUCGUAUAAUUUUCAAAGCUAUCCUUUGGGCAUGUAUUUUUUCUGUAAGUUGCAAGAACUGAAAAUGAAUAUUUUUCAGCAACCGGGCUAAAGAAAAAAAAUUAAGAGUUGAAACCCCAGAACAUAUAUGAUUCGAUCUCCUCACUGGACGAGGGUAAAAGAUGUGCAGGCGUGAGAAAAAGUAUCAUCUGGGAUCACUUCUGCAAGGUACUGUGUUUCAAUAUCUUGAAUUAGAUGCAAUUCAUCCGAAACUUUGAAUUCUUCACACCAGCCAAGUUAUGGGAAUAAUUACCUAAAUAGCUGGUUCCAACAAAUUUCUGUAUGUAUAAACCACAUCAAUAUCUAAAAUGGUCUACAGAAUUUCUGUACUCUCUGAAUUUCUGUACCACGCGUUUGUUGAAUUUUCCGAUAUUUGAAUCACUCUGCACAUGAAAGGAAGACCCUCACUCAACAGUAGUACUAAAUUUGGAACUUUUUCCUCCGACGCUUCGGUGCGCAAAUUUGUGCAAAAAAAAAAUAAGUUUUACAGAACUUACGGACUCGGAAAUAUUUGGAUCAAAUGUGGCUUCUGUGAUCGUAUCACAUUUUUUAUAAGAAAUAAAAACGAAAAAAAUGGGUACACGAUUUUGAAAAUGAGACGAAUUUUUUUUACCCCACAAUAUCUGUACGAUGGUAAUACGAAGCGGAAGGUAAAAUCAAGUCGUUGAAAUUUAUCUCAUUGUAACGGCGUUACUAACAAAUCAAGGUCAUCAGUGGUUAAUUAGCUAACGAAAUUUCUAAAUCUAAUCUCGUUCCUCAUUUAUUAUACCAGCUCAUUGUAGUUAGGUAUAUAGUAUACGCAUGCUACGAAUGCGAAGUGAUAAAAGAACGUACCCAAACUUUUUUAUCAUAAAAUGUCGGGUCUGCAGAAUAUUAUAACCGUUAGCUACGUUUCAACUGCCUCGAUUCGAUGAAUAAUCUAAUUACUAUGAAAUUCUGUACGGUGCUGCAUCGCACGAAAUGUACUGAUAAUACGCAGAAGAGAUUCCCAGGCUAGUAAAUUCGGAGUAAAUAGGAAAGAAUCGGUAUUUACUCUAGGUGACGAUGUUCCAUUGCAAUUCAUAAAAUUAUUACGUACCUUGCGCACGCGUAACGCAUACACCUCUUCCAUCGAUUCUGUCAGGAGUCCCUGUAAUUAAAGGUGAUAAUCCUAGAACCGAUUGUAAAACGGAGGAUUCGGUUUUUGUUGAUAUACGCUGUACAAAUACCUACACAUCAUGAAUAUUUAUUUAGAAGAAAGUGCUGGAAGAGAAAAAAUUGGUGGUACAGCGUAUAACACCUAUGUAAAAUGAUGAUUCGUCGUUCAUUAACUCUCAUUGACGAGUAUGACUCAUAUUUUUUGUUUUCAGAUUGGACCGGGUACCGUGUGAAUGGGGAAAAAUCAAGUAUGAGGUGAUCGUGAUAGAGGUACUUACUAAUAAGUACGUAGUACGUGUUAAUAAAAUGUACUUUUAUUUCAUAAUAAUUUAUUAUAAGAUUGUGGCAACCUCGCAGAUGACUUUACACAUUGGAGGAUCGAUACAAGACGCGCUACACAACCAGAAAUAAUUUGACCUUCGUUUACGAACCAAAAUAAAAGAAAAUUACAAAACAUGAAGAACAGAUAAAACAUGAAUAGAAGUAAACGAGAUAAAGAAUUAAACACAAGGCGUCAGUCUUUGUUACGAGAGUUGUAACGAUACCUAUAUACUUUUAUUCGGAAUGUGUUGCCAACGGUUUUACAACAGAGUAGUCGCGACAAUAUGUGUACAAUUACAUUUGUAUAAAAACUAAAAUACCACAAAGAAAAAGAAAAGAAAAA